rnacentral:rRNA from 1 species
CAGUCGACGAGUUCUCGUUGAUGAUCGGUGCUUGCACCGAGAUUCAACAUGGAACGAGUGGCGGACGGGUGAGUAACACGUGGGUAACCUGCCCUUAAGUGGGGGAUAACAUUUGGAAACAGAUGCUAAUACCGCAUAGAUCCAAGAACCGCAUGGUUCUUGGCUGAAAGAUGGCGUAAGCUAUCGCUUUUGGAUGGACCCGCGGCGUAUUAGCUAGUUGGUGAGGUAAUGGCUCACCAAGGCGAUGAUACGUAGCCGAACUGAGAGGUUGAUCGGCCACAUUGGGACUGAGACACGGCCCAAACUCCUACGGGAGGCAGCAGUAGGGAAUCUUCCACAAUGGACGCAAGUCUGAUGGAGCAACGCCGCGUGAGUGAAGAAGGCUUUCGGGUCGUAAAACUCUGUUGUUGGAGGAGAAUGGUCGGCAGAGUAACUGUUGCCGGCGUGACGGUAUCCAACCAGAAAGCCACGGCUAACUACGUGCCAGCAGCCGCGGUAAUACGUAGGUGGCAAGCGUUAUCCGGAUUUAUUGGGCGUAAAGCGAGCGCAGGCGGUUUUUUAAGUCUGAUGUGAAAGCCCUCGGCUUAACCGAGGAAGCGCAUCGGAAACUGGGAAACUUGAGUGCAGAAGAGGACAGUGGAACUCCAUGUGUAGCGGUGAAAUGCGUAGAUAUAUGGAAGAACACCAGUGGCGAAGGCGGCUGUCUGGUCUGUAACUGACGCUGAGGCUCGAAAGCAUGGGUAGCGAACAGGAUUAGAUACCCUGGUAGUCCAUGCCGUANACGAUGAAUGCUAGGUGUUGGAGGGUUUCCGCCCUUCAGUGCCGCAGCUAGCGCAUUAAGCAUUCCGCCUGGGGAGUACGACCGCAAGGUUGAAACUCAAA